CCAGACUCCUACGGGAGGCAGCAGUGGGGGAUAUUGCACAAUGGGCGCAAGCCUGAUGCAGCGACGCCGCGUGAGCGAAGAAGUAUUUCGGUAUGUAAAGCUCUAUCAGCAGGGAAGAAAAUGACGGUACCUGACUAAGAAGCCCCGGCUAACUACGUGCCAGCAGCCGCGGUAAUACGUAGGGGGCAAGCGUUAUCCGGAUUUACUGGGUGUAAAGGGAGCGUAGACGGCGAUGCAAGCCAGAUGUGAAAGCCCGGGGCUCAACCCCGGGACUGCAUUUGGAACUGUAUAGCUAGGGUGUCGGAGAGGCAGGCGGAAUUCCUAGUGUAGCGGUGAAAUGCGUAGAUAUUAGGAGGAACACCAGUGGCGAAGGCGGCCUGCUGGACGAUGACUGACGUUGAGGCUCGAAAGCGUGGGGAGCAAACAGGAUUAGAUACCCCAGUACG
rnacentral:rRNA from 1 species